GACGAACGCUGGCGGCGUGCUUAACACAUGCAAGUCGAACGGAAAGGCCCUGCUUUUGUGGGGUGCUCGAGUGGCGAACGGGUGAGUAACACGUGAGUAACCUGCCCUUGACUUUGGGAUAACUUCAGGAAACUGGGGCUAAUACCGGAUAGGAGCUCCUGCUGCAUGGUGGGGGUUGGAAAGUUUCGGCGGUUGGGGAUGGACUCGCGGCUUAUCAGCUUGUUGGUGGGGUAGUGGCUUACCAAGGCUUUGACGGGUAGCCGGCCUGAGAGGGUGACCGGCCACAUUGGGGCUGAGAUACGGCCCAGACUCCUACGGGAGGCAGCAGUGGGGAAUAUUGCACAAUGGGCGGAAGCCUGAUGCAGCAACGCCGCGUGCGGGAUGACGGCCUUCGGGUUGUAAACCGCUUUCGCCUGUGACGAAGCGUGAGUGACGGUAAUGGGUAAAGAAGCACGGGCUAACUACGUG
rnacentral:rRNA from 1 species